ACGAGACAGGAAGAGUAGUGUUGUGUCAUGAAAUAAUUAGAUUAUGAAAAUACAUUCCAAAUACUAAUAAAAUGUUGCUCAAUCAUGAGCUCUUGGCUUUAGCAGUACUUUACAUGACCAACUAAACUAAAUUAGAAAACUUGCAGUAACUUUUCUAGCAAGAGGAUCGAAGGCGUGGUUACAAAGUGACCUGCGUGACUUAUAAUCUAUUUUAUCACUUGAGAAGGAGAUUAAUAUUUUAAUAUGCUAGAGCCUGGAUGUUAAAAAUCUGUCAUAGUCAAGCAAAAGUGGAUAAGAUCCUUUCUUAUAUUCUUCUUCUUACAAUUUUCUUUAUUUAUAGUCUACCAACAAUUUUAAUCUUGAAUUUAAUUAUAUAAUAUGUUGACGGAACAUUUGAUUAUCCGUGUAAUUUUCUCUGUGUGGUUUGGGGGAUAUGGAGUAAGUAUGGCAGAAAAUAGUUGUUGUGCUGAUCCGUUCAACUUUUCAAUUCCCCUUAUUAAUAAGCGACAGUUUGAGGAGCUUGGGGUCUCUAGGGGUAUUUUGGGAAAACUGCAAAUAUUUUGGCAAAAGUUACGUGCUAACCCUACUUUGGUUUUGCCACGUUCCUUACACCGCUCAAACGGACAACAUCUAUACUCCACUUCAUACUGUUCUCCCUCGAAAUUGUUAGUGCUCAACUCCUCUUCCAAUUUCCUCUGUCUCUUUCAAUCUUCUCUCUUCCUGGACAAUUUAUUCGCGUUGGUCAUACAGUUAUAAGGUGAAUUUUGGUUUCUUAUUUUCUUGAUUUUUGGAAUAGUGGUUGCAUAGAAUUGUUUAAACUGAGUAAAUUGUUCGUCGAUCACUCUCUGUUCCUUUGUCCAGAAAAAUCUAGGACGAAUAUCUAAUUACAAAAGAAAGUGAUUAUAAACUACCAGUUGACUUCCCAACCCUUUGAACUAGACAUUAUGGGGUGUAGACGUUUACCACAUGAUAGUGAAAAUAAAAUUGGUAUGCUACAACAUCGAUCCAAACGCUAUAGUUUGACACUAAAAAAUUAAAAUCAAAAUUCUUGUUUCGACAAGGUUAGACAUUAGAAUCUGAUUCAAGAACACAAGGGAUCGACUUGAAAAGGGAGGGAUCGAGCAUGAUUUUCAGAUAAUACGCUAUUGAUACUAAUCUUUCUACUGCAUGAUUUUCAAAAGGUUUGCAUUAUUUGAAAAUUUCAUUAUUUUUAAAAGGUUUAUUAGUUGGAGUUCAUAAUGAUUUUCUGAAGGGAUAAGUUUGAUUAAACUUAUUUGUUUCUACUAAAUAGUCCAAAAUUACAUAUGUACAAUAUGUUCCUCAAGGGGACCAAUUAGCUUAGGUUUUCCGUUUUGCAAUUAGGGACUGAUAAGACAGGUGGGUGAGGGCUUGCUAGAGCAAAGGCAUUUAUGAGAGUUAUGAAUGCAGUUGCGCUAAAUUCUCAACUGAAGCCGCUUUGCCUCACUAGGAUUAUAGGUUCAUGAUCUUUAAGCUAUAAAUAAGUUUAGUUGAUUGUCAAUGUUAAUGCAUUGUUUGUUCUUUACUUGCAAUUUUAUAGUAAAAAAGAACUAUUAACCAGUAAUUGAUAUUGCAAAUUAUGUUAUUGUGUUUGAUGUCGUUGUAUUAGUACUCUGCUGUAUUUUUGUUCUGGUAACCGAAAAGAAUAAAGUGCCUAAUCAUAUUUAUAUGGUUCUUUGUAGAAAUAGUUCAUAUUAGCAAAACGAAUUGUAAUAUGAAGCGAUAACUGUAGAAUUAUAGUUGGAUUUAAUAGUUAGUAUCGUAAAACUAAUUAAUUGAUAAUAUUUUCCAUUCCUGUUUUCUAUUUUAUUCUCAACAUCCCCCUGCCAAAAAGUUUUUUGUGUUCUGCUUCUGGCUGCAAUGAAAGAGCACCGAUCUAUAUUUAGCAUAUAAAUUUCACAAAGUAAUGUUAUUGUCUUACAAUUUGAUGAUCUUUAAGCUAUAACUAAGUUUAAGUCAUUGUCAACUUUCCAAAGUGAUUUACUAUGGUGUACACUCAUUAGAUUCGGUAAGAAUCACUUAAGUUUUAUUACUCUUACUGUAAUUUAUUACUGGAAAUAAUUUAAUCCUUUCAAUAGACUUGGCUAAGGAAAAAGCACAGAUCUGUAUUUAGUGUAUAAAUUUCAUAAAAUAAUGUCAUUGUCUUAUAGUUGAUAAUUGACAAUCUUUAAGCUAUAAAUAUUAGGUGAUUGUCAAAAUUAAUGCAUUAGUUGCUCUUUACUUACAUUUUAUCCUACAAUCUGUGUAUUUGUUGUCAUUGUAUGAGUUCUCUGCUGCAUUCUUAUUUUGGUAACUAUAAAGAAUAGAGUACCUAAUGAUGUUUUGUUGAAACAAAGGAGAACUUUGAUGCAGCUAAAGGGCUUGACAAUAUGCUUAACAACUGAACAUUUUCCCCGCUCAGCUGAAGUUAUUUCUUCAGUGGCUUUGCAGUAUCAAAUCUUCAAUUGCUAAUAAAAAGUUGUACUUAUCUUUGUGGUUCAGAUUUUCUAACAGAAAAAAAAGCUAGAACAAGAUCAAGAUCACUAGCACUGAUCCAAACUCCUUGACAUUAGUUUCAUGUAAAACUGAUCAAUACUACCAUGGUGGUUGCAAAACUUUCUUACGUUUGUCCAAUAGCAUGCUCAAUAAAACGUUAAUGUUCUUUAUUUACAUGUUGAUGUUGAUAAUAUACCGGUUGUUGACAUAACCUUUAUUAAGAAAAAAAUCAUGUUCUAGACCAAGUAAGUCAACAUGUGCUUCUACUGCUACAUAUGGUGACGGUGAGUAUCUUGCUUGCUCUCUUUCUGGCAUUUCAUUUUUUUUGCUCAAAAUGAACUCAAUUUUAAUUUGCCGAUAACUGUUUUUUGAAAAUAGGUUGACAUCCUCCUAUGGACAUUGAUCUUUUCCACCUUAUCAAAAAAAAAAAUGAAUAUUGAUCUUUCCCUGAGCAAUGCACUACGUCCUACAAUGUUGAAGACCCAAUUUGCUGACACCAUCAUCAAAGUGAAACAGAAAUCUCUUUCACUUGAUGAGUGUAUUUCGUAUCACAUAGUUGAAUCAGCAUGAUAAGUCUAAUCUUCAGUCUGAAAUAGCCUAUCUCUUAUCCAACAAUAUUCUUUCGUAUUCGACAGUAAUAGCUUUACUGCAGAUUUUCCUAAUCGCUUGUGUUGUUUUCUUUUGUCCUGCUUUAACUCAAGCUUGGUCUCUUUCGUCCGUAGUAUUAUAUUCUUGCGUCAGCAUCAUACUAAUUGAGUUUGUUCAUCCUUACGUCAUAGGUGUCUUGUUAUACUAAAUGAAAAUUUGAAGAAUCUGUUUAUUGAAGCACAUAUUGAUUUUGACAUUAUAUUAGAAGUAUUAGUAUAAUAAUCGCAUAGAAAAACUGAUAACUAGAUUUCUUUUUAUUUCUAGGUAGGUUGAAGAUUGCACUGGACAUACUACUUUUCUUUCCUUUUCUUGUUCUUUGUACUGGAAUUUCUGCUACUUCUUUCUUCUGUUGAAGUGUAUUCCGUUCGGUAAAUAUAAGGUUUUACAGUGAGUGUAGCAUUAAAGUUGUAGGUUAAUGGACUUUCAAAUGAGAAAAAGUCCAAUAGUCAAUUCUUUCUAAUGUUCUGCAUGUUUAUUGACUUCAGUUGGUCUGCUAUAAAAAGGUAUACCACAGAUGUGAAGUUCUAUAAUCAGGAAUUCAACAAACACGUUUUGUAGAGAAAAAGUGAUCAUUUGUCACCAACCAUUUGCUAUUAUAUUCUGGUAGUAAUAACGUUAUUGCAGAUCUAUGGAUGUUCCUAUAAGAUAACCCUAAUAACAUUAUUGCAUAUCUAUAGAUGUUUCUUUAAGACCACCUUUCACUUCGUUUCACUGUGAGAAACUUUAUUUCUCGUGAUUUGUUAUUGUUUUAUUCAUUUCAUUUGAUAGGGUAAUCUUUAUGGCCAAGAUAUUACCAGUUUAAGGUGUUGCAAAUAUGAUGGAAGUUAAAAGCACAAUUGUACCUCAGAGUGGUAUCUCAGCCUGAAAAAUUUACAGAGUAUUAUAUCUGGACUGGGAUCACAGAGUUUAUACGUUUAUGGAAAAAGGCCUUUCCAAUUGUACGAUUGCUUAACAAAUGCAAUCCUUGCAUCAAGCACUGACAACUAUCUUGAAGAAAACAUUCUGAAUACAUUAGAACCAAGUGACUGAGUUAGCUGGUGGGCUUCAUACUGGACAAGUAGAGGAGAAAUAUCAAAGUUUGUGCUUGAUUUCAUAAUUCAUGUGCAACCAUUUCAAGGUUUCACCUCAAGUUCUAUUUUCGGUGAUGUUAUGGAUUUGUUCAUUCGACUUGUUUUUUUUUUCUCAUUAACCAGAAAUAUUAUAAUUUUGUAACAACAUAUUUCCAGUUUGGUUUUCCUCUUUAUUCAACAAAAGCUGUGAGAUUCAGAGUUGGACAUCCUAAUGUUAAAUUUUCAUGUUGCAUAAUUGCCUUUA